GCCGGAGUGGCGGAAUGGUAGACGCAGCGGACUCAAAAUCCGCCGGGCCCUAGCCUGUGGGAGUUCGAGUCUCCCCUUCGGCACCA
rnacentral:tRNA from 1 species